GAUGAACGCUGGCGGCGUGCCUAACACAUGCAAGUCGAACGGGGGCCAGCGGCGGAAGGGGAUGGUUUACCAGACCCGGAAGGCGCGGGCCUUAGUGGCGGACGGGUGAGUAACGCGUGGGGAACCUGCCCCGUACCGGGGGAUAACACCUGGAAACAGGUGCUAAUACCGCAUAACAGAAGGGGACGCAUGUUCCUUUCUUGAAAACUCCGGUGGUACGGGAUGGACCCGCGUCUGAGUAGCUGGUUGGCGGGGUAACGGCCCACCAAGGCGACGAUCAGUAGCCGGCCUGAGAGGGCGGACGGCCACAUUGGGACUGAGACACGGCCCAA
rnacentral:rRNA from 1 species